GGUGAUGUGGCCCAGUGGUAGAGCACUUUCUUAGUAUGCAUAAGGGCCUGGGUUCAAUUCUCAGUACCACCA
rnacentral:tRNA from 1 species